rnacentral:rRNA from 1 species
UACGAAGGGGGCUAGCGUUGCUCGGAAUUACUGGGCGUAAAGCGCACGUAGGCGGCUUCUUAAGUCGGUGGUGAAAUCCUGGAGCUCAACUCCAGAACUGCCUUCGAUACUGGGGAGCUCGAGUCCGGGAGAGGUGAGUGGAACUGCGAGUGUAGAGGUGAAAUUCGUAGAUAUUCGCAAGAACACCAAUGGCGAAGGCGGCUCACUGGCCCGGUACUGACGCUGAGGUGCGAAAGCGUGGGGAGCAAACAGG